rnacentral:rRNA from 1 species
UACGAAGGGGGCUAGCGUUGCUCGGAAUCACUGGGCGUAAAGCGCACGUAGGCGGCUCUUUAAGUCAGGGGUGAAAUCCUGGAGCUCAACUCCAGAACUGCCCUUGAUACUGAGGAGCUUGAGUCCGGGAGAGGUGAGUGGAACUGCGAGUGUAGAGGUGAAAUUCGUAGAUAUUCGCAAGAACACCAGUGGCGAAGGCGGCUCACUGGCCCGGUACUGACGCUGAGGCGCGAAAGCUAGGGGAGCAAACGGG